CUACGGGGUGCUCCAGUGGGGAAUCUUAGACAUUGGGCGCAAGCCUGAUCUAGCCAUGCCGCGUGAGUGAUGAAGGCCUUAGGGUCGUAAAGCUCUUUCGCUGGGGAAGAUAAUGACGGUACCCAGUAAAGAAACCCCGGCUAACUCCGUGCCAGCAGCCGCGGUAAUACGGAGGGGGUUAGCGUUGUUCGGAAUUACUGGGCGUAAAGCGCGCGUAGGCGGACUGUUAAGUCGGGGGUGAAAUCCCGGGGCUCAACCCCGGAACGGCCUUCGAUACUGGCAGUCUGGAGUUCGAGAGAGGUGAGUGGAAUUCCGGGUGUAGAGGUGAAAUUCGUAGAUAUUCGGAGGAACACCAGUGGCGAAGGCGGCUCACUGGCUCGAUACUGACGCUGAGGUGCGAAAGUGUGGGGAGCAAACAGGAUUAGAUACCCCAGUAGUC
rnacentral:rRNA from 1 species